GAGAUCCUGAGAAGGUACUGUGACUGAUGAAUGUGUGUUGAAAGACUGUUCUCCUCUAAGUAUCCUGAACUGUCUUCAUAAUUUAAUCCUGUGUUGUUACAUAAGGUAGCCACUAGCCACACGUAGCUAAAGCACUUUAAAAUGGGGCUAGUCUGAAUUGAGAUGUGCUGUAAAUGUAAAAUAUACAUUGGAUUGCGAAUACAGUACCAAAAAGGAUGAAAGAUGUCUCAGUAAUUAUUUUUUCAUAUUGCUUACAUGUUGAAAUGACUGUUGAAAGGAAACUCCUUACCAAAUUUGCUCUUAAUAUUUGCUCAAAUGUCUCUUAACAUUGUCCAUUUUACUAUCUGAAAAUUUUUUGCACAACCACCAGCUUUUUCAUUUUUCUCUGCUGUAGAGCAUUCUUUUGGUGUUUAUCACUCUGAAACACACUUUUUCACAACAGACUUUUGCAGCAUUGGUGAUGACCCUCAUUGAACAUUGGUCUCACUCUGUAGUCAACUGUGAGGACUCAUUUAAGUGAAUUUCCUCCACACGACAUAAAGGAAAUCAUCUGUCAAAGGCAACUGCAGUGCACAUUACUACACACAAUAUUAUGUGCACAAUAAUGACACAGUAACUAUAACAUGCCAAAAAAUACAUAAAGAAACAACUGUGUAUGUUGUUAAAAACUUGAGAUUUCUAUGUAAAUACUUUAAAAUAUUUAUGACAAAAUGGAUCAUGUCCUGUAACACAUUUAAAAUCAACUGUUUGAUAGAAAACAAACUUAUGGUUACCAAAGGGGAAAGGGGGUGGGGGAGGGAUAACGUAGGAGUUUGGGAUUAACGGAUACAAACUACUAUAUAUAAAAUAGAUAAACAAGGACCUACUGUACAGCACAAGGAACUAUAUUUAAUAUCUUGUAAUAAACCAUAAUGGAAAAGAAUAUAAAACAGAAUAUAUAUAUAAUUGAAUCACUUUGCUGUACAGCAGAAAUUAACACAUUGUAAAUCAACUAUACUUCAAUUUAAAAAAUCAAUAUAUACUGUCUAAAAUUAAUAAAUCAAGAAAUAUUGUUAAGGGUUUAUUACUUAAAAAUAAGGAUGUGGGGCUUCCCUGGUGGCUCAGUGGUUAAGAAUCCACCUGCCAAUGCUGGGGACACAGGUUCGAGCCCUGGUCUGGAAAGAUCCCACAUGCUGCGGAGCAACUAAGCCCGUGCGCCACAGCUACUGACCCUGUGCUCUAGAGCCCGUGAGCCACAACUACUGAGCCCACAAGCCACAACAACUGAGCCCAUGUGCCACAGCUACUGAAGCCCGUGCACCUAGAGCCCAUGCUCUGCAACAAGAGAAGCCACCACAAUGAGAAGCCAGCACACCAGAACGAAGAGUAGCCCCCACUCGCCACAACUAGAGGAAGCCUGCACACAGCAACAAAGACCCAACGCAGCCAAAAAUAAAUAAAUGAAUAAACUUAUUUUAAAAAAUAAAAUAAGGAUGUGAACAAUGCAAAAGAUAGCCAAAAGAACUUAAAGUGGUUACCUCUGGUAAGCAGAGCUUGCAGUAGAAGAAGGUGGGAGAAAAGAGCCUGCCUUUUUUUUUUUUUUUUUGCCUUGCCCACGCUGAACGGAUUGCGGGAUCUCAGCUCCCCUACCAGGGAUCAAACCCAGGUCCCAGCAGUUAAAGUGCCGAGUCCUAACCACUGGAUGGCCAGGGAAUUCCCAAGCCUGCGUUUUGUUAAAAGAAAUUACUAUCUGACUUUCAAAGUAAUGUGCAUAUAUUACUCUGAUU